UCUUUAUUCCCGUGUUCAGCCCGAAUACGGACCAGCCGCAAUAUUCUUAGGGUUUCAUGUUCUUCUUCCAACAACGAAGAGUCUUUUUCUAUGAUCUCUGUCGGAUACAGCUAUAACGUUUUGUCUUCUCUUCAGAUGAAUGAAAACAUUUCUUCUAAUUGAUUCAACCCCUUUAUCAUGCUCCUUGACUCCAUCACCUCUCUUUAAUUUCUCUGAAAGACGGUGUCUCUACUUCUACAAAAGAUUCAAUAAUGGUAGAAGAUAAACUCUGGUACGGAGUGAUGAUUCGCUACAAAGAGUAUUUCACGACAUCAUCUUUAUGCUACACGAGAACUUGGACUGAGAUGAAAAAUAUUGAGCUUUGAUAUGCAUUAAGUUUUAGAUCUUUCAGCCUUAUGCCAUGUUCAUAUGUCGAUUUUUUGAAAAUUUGACUGAGUGGAAUAUGCAUUCUUCCGCAAAGGAUCGUGAAUAUGACUCAAAGAGACAUGUAUGUUCAUGAUCGAAACAACGAUGGUUUUGUUUCUUUCUCUGAAUGUGUCUUCUCUUUUGAAUUAAUCCAUGGACGAGAGCAAGCUCAAGAGAUGCUCCACUUCAUCCACCCAUGCUGAAGCAGCUGAUUAGGCGACAGAUCCUUUGCAAAAGGAGAGCGUAGGUACAGAGCUUUUGGAGACUUAAGUUGGUUUAGUAUGGUUAAGAUGGACCUUGGAGAUGAAUAUAUUUUCUCAGUCCUAAAUCCUUUUGGAUUCUUUCCUUUAGUACUUCAACAGCAGCUCUGUGAAUGACAUCUUUAUAUGGAGAAAAAUCGCCUCUGUUGACUUAGAUUAGGGUCCUUCACCAAUCUACAAGCAGUUCCUUACGCCAGGCGGUGUAUUCACAACUAUAAAAGACGAGCGAUGUUCCUCCACCGUUGAGGUGCGACUGCUCAGAUUCUUGGCAGCAAGGAACGUCAAACUCUGUGGCGAGCUGAUGGCAUCGAUAUGCUUCUCCUCAUGAUUCUAAGGGACACAUAGAUGUUUCAACAAGGAGACUUAUGCAGGGGAAAGUUACUUUUACAAGCUGGUCUCCAAAGGUUGAACGUUUGACCAUGGCUGAUCACAGAGUUCAUCAUCACUACUCCAUCUCAGGAGAUUGACUUCGUUUGCCUGCACCGGGAAGGUCAACGGCAUCGAGAUGGACAAAGGGUGGUGUUAAGUUUGUUGCUCCAAGUGUACCAAGAAACUUCAGUGGACUGUAUCAUCCGUUACCUGCGUGCACUGCAACAAUACUAAUGUUGUUGGUGUCCUCCGGUAUGUAUCAUUCAGUAACAUUUUAUUAUCAAUCAUUUGCACCAAAAGUCCACACACGCAGAUAUACCCCUGAUUUUAAAUGCAUGUUUACUGACUGAUAUCGUGUGGAGAUGACCAUUGCUAAUGAUACUGGUGAAGGUCUAUUUGAUGGUUUUGAUUGGGAAAUGACAAACUUACAUAACAUCAGUGCCUAUGAAGCUGGUUCUGUUGACAUGCAGGAAGCACCGACUACUGGAGCAGCUCCAAGUGGUGCCGACAAUAAGAAGCCUCCAGCUGGAGCAGCUUCCAAGAUGGCCAAGAAAGCAUGGAUGGCAUAGGUUACGAUAAUAAGAGCUAUGGAUGCAGUAUUUCCUCUUUAAAUAAUGUUAACACAUCAGUGUUUGUUUACAAGUUUGGUUUUGUUUUCCCCCUCUGGAGCUAUGUUUGGUUCGGACAAUCUUUAUAAAAUUUAAGUUCUUUUUUAAAACAAAAUAUGUCUAAGUUUAAAUUAGUCGAUAUGUUACUCAUGUCAUUUAACUACUCAGGAUUAGUUUUUUGUUUGUUUUUGUCUAGGAUCCAUUACUUAGGAUUAGUUUAAGUACGCGACACUCAAAUUCUACUUCAAAUAAAAGGGGUUUUAAGGGUCAACUAUCAUAUAACAUAAUACUAUCUAAGUACAUGUCCUAGCGAUGUUUUAAUCUUUCUCUAAUUUAAACUAUUUUUUUCAUGUCAUGUAAGUACGCAACACUCAAAUUUAACUUUUAGAAAGAAGGUCAACUAUAAAAUAACAUAAUGGUAUAUAAAUACGUGUCUGGACGAACUUAGACAAUAUGUAUAAGUUUAAAAUUAAUUAGAAAAUUGCCAUAUACAACCAGUGCGAGUUGGAGAACCAAUGGCUAAGCAGAACAAAAUAAACUCUUUCGAUUCUUAUAAAGCUUAAACAAACACUUUAAGAUACGAAUUGUGUAUACAAUUUGUGACGCAACAAGUAAAUGAAACUCUUAGAGUGAUACAUUAUGGUAGACUGGCUGUGUGAUCCAUUAAUAAUCUAUAACCAAUAAAAAAAUAGAAAACAUACAAAAGGUGCCACAUACAUGAUGCUCAAAUACAGGAAAAUACAAAUAUACACACAGAACGUAGGUCUAAUGUAGCAUACGACAAAAUCCAUCGUACAGAAUACGCCAGACUGACUUAUCCUCAAACAUCAUCAUAUUGGUAUUGAGUUGUCUUGAACAAGAUUAACAUGAAAGCUCUGUGAAUUGAAACAAGAAAUCAAACCCAAAUACCACUCCUUACGAGUCCACAACAAAAUAAACUCCAAGUGACCCCUAAAUAUGAGCUAAACAUCUUUUAAAACAACUAACAUCAAGACAAUUCUAAUCCAACUCUACAAAAUAUAUACAACCACUAGGAGAGGCAAAAUAAAACAUACCAUCAAGACCGUCUCAGAUUAUAGUAAGACUCUGUUCAAAAAAAAUAUUGACUAUAUAUUUAACAAUGUAAUGAAAUAAUUUUAAGAAUUAAUAGUUUUAUCUAUAAAUAUUUGAGGUUUCUCUUCGAAUUAUAAACUAUAAAUUUAAUAAUAUAUUAAAAAUUUUGAAAUUUUAAAACAAAUUUAUGUAUUGGUUUUGAAUUUUUUUAAAUAUUUUUAUUUUAUUUUUAGACUUGGACCUUGCUCAACACAGUUGCACUAGCACACGUUAUUAAACGACCAUGCAUACCACCUAUAUUUUUUCUUCCAAUCAAACAAUCCACCCCAAACAUAAUUAAAUACAAAAAGACAUUAACAUACAAUAUCACCUCCAUUAGUAGUCAUAACACACAAACAACAAAAUCAAACGACAACUCCCAUAGAUCAAUGAAAAUUAAAAACAUUGAAUCUAAUAUAUUUUCCUCUUUUAAAACUUUUAUGUCACGAAUUCCAAAAAAAACUUAGAACAUAAAUCUAAUAGCGAUAAUUUAACUUACUGAAUUAAGACAUAAUAUAAAACAAUUUAACAAAAAACAUCAAUGAAAUAUUCUAAAAGUUUUACAGCCCAAAAAUUAAAAUAAAACAUAGCUUUACUAACAUAAUCUACACAAUCGUUUUAAAAAAAACAAUAACAAAAAUAAUGAUUUAUACAUAAUAUAUACCCAAAAAUUUCAAAACAGAAAAAAUAAAUAUAAAAAGAAUAUUUUAUAUACAAUAUUAUAGUUUUAUAUAUCACAAGUAAAUCAUAUCCCGCCCGUAGGGCGGGUUGACCCUAGUCUAUAUAUAUAAAAUAGAGUUUCUCUCACUCUUAGGCCAUCCACAUGGGAUGCCACAUCACUAAUUAAGAGCACCAGACGAAGACAUGUGUCAUAACUUAAAAUGCGUUCUUAACUCAAUCUGUUGUGUUUCACCAUGGGCUUAAUAUUGAGUUGUCGAUUGAUAUUUUUCAGCCUUAAUUGAACGGUAGGCCAUUCAUCUUCAUCGUCUAAGAUUCUCCGUCGUAACUAAUAACAUGAAAAAGUUCGUCAACGCCGAAGAAACGAUGAGUCUGUUCAUCUCACCGACUAACUGUUUCCCAGCAAUAUCUGUUGGAACCUAACACCGAGUGUCUCAUCAUACGAUUUCUGACUUACGGAAUGAAACUGGAGAACGUUACGGAAACCGGUUGAAUUGAGGCGUGGGCUUUAAUGUCCUCAUAAACAACAGCUCCCCACUCCUCCAUGAUUUGUCAUUGAAUGCAUUCUCUAUUAAUUCCAUUGUGUUAAUCUUCGAUUAUAAAAAGGUUAGAGGUUAGUCUCAUGCCUUUAAAUUCAUCAUUGCAGUCCUCUCGAUCUUUUAUAGGGCUAAGCAUAUGAUUCGCUGAUUCGCUUUUCUUUUUCGUCAUGAUUUCUUCGGGGGUAAGAUCAGGUGAUUGACGGAAGGGGAGGGAUAAAGAUGGCUACAGGAGAAGAUCAAAUGCAAGGUUCGUCUGCGUCUAUUAAGUGUGAAAGAAAGAGUAAGGAUGACGUGGUAGAUUGGAAGUGUAUCAUUGAUGAAACAGUCAUAUACAUGAGCUAUCGUUCCGUUUUCGACCAUCCAAUAUACCCACUGCAUCUACAUUUGGUAAUACUUGCUUAUUUUUCCAGCUUCUUGAUCAAAUGUAAUCUUUGAUUUCAUAUGCCUUUAGAUAGAGUGUUUGGCCUUGCAAGUUGUAAGGAGGUGUACGAUCGAUCAAGGGGCGAAUGAAGUUGCUCUCUCUGUUGUUAGUGGGGUUCACUUUAAGGCAUGUUGCUUUAAAUGAUAGAGCUGAAGAAAGAUUUAACAGUUAAGGUACAAGCUUUUCAUUUCAUAAACAUUGUGCUUGCAUUCGCUGAUGGAAAGCUUUAUUUUCUUUUGGUUAUUGUAAUCUGACGGCUGGGGUUCACGUUUGGUUUUAAACAUGUUUAUGACAUCACAUUAACACUUUUUCACUGACACUUUGAGAAAGAUCCAUAAAAGAAGGUAACAUGGCUCAGACUUCCAGGUACAUACCUAUUGUCGAGUGUCUCUUUAGCUAAGAUGCAGCAGAAUGCAUACUUGCAGAAGAAUGUGGAUCCUCAACGUCACAUGAAGUAGCUUAAGCAGUGAUAUACUUAGGAGGAUCCAUUGUGGUAUUUAAAGGUUAGAAUGCUGCAAUUUACCAUUGUGGCAUAUGGACAGUGAGAUAUGGAAGUGAUUCGGAUAGGGAACAAUGCCACCAUUCUUAUUUUCCUGUUCAUAGGAGUGUGUAUUGAAGAAACAAGCACUCCAUUAGAUUUAAUAACACAAUUUGCAAGUACACAUACACACCAUCUAUACACAAAGUAGAUGUCUGAUUAUGAGUUUGUGUGACAUUGAAAUGAACAGUUGAGAUGAUGUGUGGAAAAUAAUAACCAACGAGUUUUUAAAUUUCAAAUUUCUUUGUAACACUUCGAAUUUAUCUUGGGUAAGAAAUAUAUAAUAGAUAUUAAAAGAAUAUUAUUAUGACUUUUCUUCUUAUCUUUUCGUUGAAUGAAACAAAAAAAGUGGACAUGAUUCUUAAGAAUGAGCCAUUCAUAUGAUAAUUACACCAUACACUACUAUAGAUUUCAAUUGCGAUUUGCGACAACCCUUGCAGUCAGUGCCGGCUUAGCACAUGUGCUCAAGGCACAUUUGCACAGGGUCCUUUGUUUUUCUUUAAAAAAGUUAGGGCCCUAUUUGCUAAAAACUAUAAAUAUUAGGGUCCUAAUUUUCAGAGUUACUGCAAUAUAGCUAAAGUUUGGGUUUUUUUUUUAAUUUAGCACAAGGUCUUAGCAGUAUUUGGGCCGGGCCUGCUUGCAGUGAUAUGUCGGGAGGCGGGAGGCACAUGUGUUUCUUCCUAGAGUAAGUGGGGGUUAUUGGUUGUGGUAUUUGCUUGGAUUUAGAUUUUUUUUUAGAUUUGAAAAUCUUUGAUAAAUUCAUUGAUUUUAAAAUCAAAAUAACUGGAUUUCACAAAAAUUCAGAUGGAUGUCAAAAUCAAAUAAGUAGAUUAUUAUAAAUCAGCCAUAUGAAUUUAAAAGAGUUGUGACAGGCUCGUGAAAUAUUUUUCUUCUUAAAAGAAAUACUUUGAUACAUGUACUUCAACAUGAGUACUGCCCAAAGGACUCGAAAGAAAACCAUUAUUUGCUUCAUUUCUAUCAAUUGCCGCAUAAAAUCUGACUUUUCCAAUGAUCCAGAAAACAGUUUCGUCUAUGCGAAGAGAUUUAUUGGUUGGAGUCAAAGCAGGUUUUCGAUAGAUUUGUCAAGUAUGAAGACAAGUACGUCAAGCUUGAGUAUCCUCCAAUUAACUAACAAUUUUCCGUUGAGGCAUCGCUAAGAAAAAGCUAACCCUUACGUUAAGUCAACACGUUCUUGUAUGAAUUCCAUUGAGAAUUAACUCACAGAGAGAUGCAAAUUUCAGUUUCAAUAAUAUUUGACAAAGACUUGUCGCAGACGCUGCACUUGCAUCUCAAUGACGACUUCUCAGCUACUACCGUCACCAGAGGAAGAAGAAAAAGCUGACGAUUGCCGUAGCGAUAGAGGAGCAUAAGGCAGAAAGCGAGAUACUCGUCUUCAGUGAGUUUCUGGUGGUGGAAAUCGGAUCUUCAACGUUUGGAUCUUUUACCUUUGGUCAAGCGUUCGUCGCCAUGGAAUCUUGAAGUCUUUGAACAGAGGAGGAACCAGUCAACCAGAGAAGCUAGUCUCGGUGAGCUGAGAGCCGCGAGCACCAUUAAAAACUGAUCUUUCUGAAAACAAAGGAGAACUUGAGUUUCUUAUGUUUUUAUUGUUGUGGAGAGGAAGUUCUGUGACAAGUGGUGGGAAAGUGUGAAAAUGCUAUGGGGCAUUUCUAUCUGUAAUGUUACGGUAAAUCUGGAUGAGGUUGUAGCUCUAGGUGAUGUGGUUCGGGUUUGUUCUCGUGCACAUGUAUAAUCUGUUAUUUUAUGAAAUUUGAAGAUCAUAAGCCAAUAAUACAAAUCCAAUCAAAAUAAGAGGGUUAACCUCUAUAUUUGUUCCUUUGUAUUUCGAUCUUAAAAUCGCUCACAAAUCCAUUGAAAUACAAUUCUAAAUCAAAUUUUUAAACAAAUUUUUAUAAUUGAAUAACACUUGAUUUCAAAAUUUAUUUUAAAAUCACAAAACCAAUAACACUAGAUUUGAAUAUAGAUUUUAAAAUCAUAAAACCAAUAACACUAGAUUUGAAUAAGAAUUUUAAAAUCAUAAAACCAAUAACACUAGAUUUGGUUUGAAUUUAAAAAUCCAUUAAAAUAUACAAACCAAUAACACCCUCUAAGUUUAUCACCGCAGAUGUUCAGGUUGCUUUAGGCGGAUGCACUGUUGAGGAAGGACCAGUGCCAACAACGGAGCAUACAGUCAAGAAGGCACGCAAUGAUUAAUUUCUCAAGUUUGUGGGUUUAUGAUACUGCUAUUUGCAAAUAAUCAGCCACUUUUCGCCUUACAUAUUCACAUCACGAACUCCAAAAUGUUACUAAUAGCUAAAUAAUUAAGAUCCUCAUUACAUAAACAAAGACAGACUGGACCAAAGAAAUCGUUUUUUGUUCACUGAAUAUAAAUAGUAAACCAACUCUCAAUACAAAUUGGGAACCAAGAUGUUGCCGUAAACAUUCUUUGCUCAACAAACACGAAAUUUAUUACACAUUUGUAAACACUCUUUUCCUAUUUUUUUCAGAAACUUUUAUCUAUUUUCAGCACUUUAAAUACAAUUUUCCUUAAAUAAGCUUAUAAAUAUAUAAAACAUUUGAUUUCAAAAAAUUCUCUUUAGAAACUAAUUAUACAUGUCUUUUUCUAUUAAAUAUUUAAAUGGAUAUUUUUAAUAAAUUAAAAUAGCCUUUUUAUUAAAAAUCUAAAUGAACAGUAUAUUUAAUAAAUUUAUAUUCCUAAUAUUUCAAAUAAGAAUUUACUUUUUAAGUAAAUAUAAAUUCAGUCACAAACGUCAUCAUCAUCUACAUCUACAUCUACAUCUAUAUGUAUGCUAAGUUAUUUAAAUUUAAAUAUGUGUUUAAAAUAAAAAUAAAAAUAUAUAAUAAAGAAAGAAAUAAUUGUAUUCAAUAACAAAACACAACAAAUAUAAUAAAAUAUGUAAUAAGAUAUUGUAAGGAUUAUACAUUAUAAGUUAGCCAGUAAGAUUUAUUCCAAAUAACACGAUUGACUUUGUUUCCAUAUAUGAUAACACAUAAGAUUCUACAAAGAUGUAUAUAUAUAUAUAUCCAUUCUCAAAAAAAAAACACGUAAAUAUAUAAAGAGUAACGAUAGUUUCAUAUUAUUUAUUUAUUUAUCUAUCUUAAAAUAUUUUUAGUUAUAAUGAAUAAGUUAUUUAUUUUACAUCGUGAAAUCAUUAGUUUUUAAAAAUGUAUAACGAAAAAAAAAACGGUUUUAUAUUUAAAAUUUUAUAAUAAUUAGAUAAGUAUAAUUUCCAAAAUGAAAGUUAAAAUUGUUGUAAAAAUUAUGAAUUUUAGUACUAUUUUAAGUUAAAAAUAAAUUAGACAUUUAAAAUAAAUUUAUAAUAUUUUUCUUUUAUCCGUCCGCCCGUAGGGCGGAUUUACCCUAGUAUAUAUAUAUAUAUAUGUAUAUAUAUACUUAUAUAUUUAUAUUUGAGAUAUUUUUGGAUAUUCAUUAGUUCUUGGGUUGAUAAGGUUUGAUACCGAUACAUGUUCUUAGGAUGAUAUAUCAAUUUAAGACUAGUUUAUUUAUGUUGGGUCAAAUCAGAUCAGAACCUUAAUUGAAUUAGUUCCAACUCAAUUAUUUUUACAUAAAAAAUCAAUUCAUUUAAAAUGCAUAUAUAAUUUAGGAUAUAUAUAUAUGUAAGUAACACUUUGUGAUUCUGGCUCUAUGGGCUGUGAUUUUGGUACUAGGGUAAAAGCUAAGAAUAUGUGAUCUUAGAGUGAUAUAGAAGACUGAGGCUAAAAUGUUAAGUGAAGAUCAUUAACCAAUUAAAUUGAUCUCAUUUUUAAGAUAGUUUGUUUAGGUUUUAACUGAUGAUUAAUAAAAAGAUAUUUUGAAUUAAGCAAGAAAUAAUUUUUAUUUUAUAAUUCUUUAAAUUAAAAGAAAUGAAUAUCAAUAUUGAAGAAAAAUAUUAUUUACUCGUCUUUUUUGUUAUCAAAAUUGAGAGAAUGAAGAGAAAUUCAAAAUGUUGUCUACUUUUCAAUUUCGUGAUUUACAAAGUACAAGUGAAGGUGGACUAAAUUAAAUUUUCUAAAAAUAUGGGUUAGUUUGGAAAACAGGAAAAGUUUUAAAACUCAUAGGGGUGAAUAUCCCAGAAUACAAACAAAGGUAUGUACAGACUAAUUAGGUCAAACUCCGUUGUGAAGUGAACAGGGGUAAAAUUGAGAACUAAAAAAAGGAAACUCUUUCAUCUCGCGCUUAUAAGUAAACAUGGCCGCGAGAAGGGUUUAAUCAAUGUGCCUAUGAGAGAUCAGAGCAAGCGAGUUUCAUGCUGUUCUUGUUCCGUUGCGGGCAUAAAUCGAAAACCCCAUUCAUCUUUUCUCCAUUUCCUCUUGCAAAAGUAAUCUUCUUUAUUUGCAAUUUGGAAGAAAAGAUCGAACAUUUUGUUUUUGUCAUUUUCGUUUUGUGAUGUUAUGAGUGUUGUUCGGCGAUCCAAACCGGUUCUUGCGUUCGAUACCAAAUGUUCACAUGUUCUGUUUUGCCUUGUCGGAAAUCUCUGAGAGGAUGUUGUUUUGUCUAAUAUCAACAGACAAAGUUUGAAACUUUUAAGGAUAAUGUGUUUAAUCAAAAGUGCCUAUGAGAGAUCAAAGCAGCUAUAUUGAUGCUGUUCUUGUUCCGUUGCGGGCAUAAACUAAAACCCAUUGAUCUUUUUCUAUUUAUCAUAUUGCAAGUUCAUUACUGCAAAAUGGUAGAAAAGAUCGAUCAUUUUUUUAAACAUAUUUAUUUCGUUUUUUUUUCUCUGUCUUGAUGUUAUUAGAUGAUGUUGUUUCGGCGCCGAUCCAAUUGGUUUUUUUUUUCGUUUUAAUCUUGUCUAUGUUUGGAACAGUCAUGCCAAUCCUGUCUUUCUUUCGUAUUUUUGGUAUUGUGGAAGAUUGGGUUUUAAUGUUUUAUACAUAGAACAACUUUAUGUUUUGUGUUGAA